AGUGCUAAAAGAAUGGAUUUUCAGAAAAUUUCUUUUUUAAAAUUAAUAAUUUAAUUUAUUUUUGUAUGUGAAGAAACAACAAUAAAAAUUAAGGACAAGAAGACCCUAAGAAUUUUUAAAAAAUAAUUUUAAAUUUAAAAUUAUUUUUUUUAAUUGGGGCGAUUAAUAAAUAUAAUUAACUUUAUUUUAAAUAAAUAUGAACCAUUAUUAAUGGUUAAAUGAAUAAAAUACUCUAGGGAUAACAGCGU
rnacentral:rRNA from 1 species